rnacentral:rRNA from 1 species
GACAGAGGCCUCAAGCGUUAGGCGGAAUCACUGGGCGUAAAGGGCGCGUAGGUGGCGACCCAAGUCGAUGGUGAAAGCUCGCCGCUCAACGGCGAGUCGGCCACCGAUACUGGGUUGCUGGAGCACUGUAGAGGCAGAUGGAAUUCCGGGUGUAGCGGUGGAAUGCGUAGAGAUCCGGAAGAACACCGGUGGCGAAGGCGGUCUGCUGGGCAGUUGCUGACACUGAGGCGCGACAGCGUGGGGAGCAAACAGG